AAUUUUUGGUUGGAUUUCUUAUUCUUGCAAAGGAAGUCCUGUUUAUAUUUACAUGUUCCUGUAUUCACUCAAAUCCACACAAUGGUUAAUGCGAUGCCAGAUAUGUUUUUAUUGUGAAUACCAGUAAAGUUACUUCUUCUGAUGACGACAGGUAUAAGUACUAUACAACGGAAAUUGUGAAAGUACUCAAGUCGAGUGCACCAGUAACGAGAAUGUUCACAACGCUGAAAACUCCAACAUCUGAGUCAAUGUGUGGAACUUCUUUGCCAUUCAGUCAAAAGAUGCUUAUAUCAGCUUAUGAGAGUGAAAUUAGUGACUCUGAGUUUAUGAUAGACAUGUGUGACCCGAUAAGAAGGAGAUACAAUACAGGACUCGAAAAUUUUGGAAAGGAUUUUGAUUGCAGAUGCAGGGAAGCAACAGGGUAUAUGGAUUCGGACUAUGACCAGAGGCAGUUAUGUUCCAUGUUUAUUUCCUGUUUUAAUAAAACUGUGAGGAAAUGUACCGUAAAUAAAGAUGGAAGAUGCGAAUGGCAAUGUUUGUCAAAGGGAGUUCGAUCAUCGGCUAAUCACCAAGGGAAAAUAUUGUAUUCUUUUCUCACAUUUAUGUUUCUCUUACUAUAUUACAUACCUCUGCAACGAAUAUUCCUAUUUAGUUGAUCAGUUCUGGUUUUUAAGAAAUGUUAGCAUUCUUUG